rnacentral:lncRNA from 1 species
GCAUUGCACGCACCUGAGCUCCCCGGGCUGGCCCGGCCUUCCGCCACGUGCUCCGUCACUGCUUCAGGCCGGGACUCAGCACUGCCACUACAGAUGGGGUGGUGGCACAUGGGGAGGAUGGGGAUGCCAUGGGAUGGUGGCACAUGGAAGGGUGGAGGUGCCAUGGGAUGGUGGCACAUGGAAGGGAUGGAGAUGCCCUGGGAUGGUGGCACAUGGAUAGGAUGGAGGUGUUCAGAAAUGGUGACACGUGGGCAGAGUGGAGGUGCCGUGGGAUGGUGGCACAUGGGAGGAUGGAGACAUCCAGUUUGGCACAGGGACAGGAUGGAGAUGCCAUGGGAUGGUGGCACAUGGAUAGGAUGGAGACGGUAUGCGAUGGUGGCACAGGGACAGGAUGGAGAUGUGGUGGGAUGGUGGCACAUGGAAGGGUGGAGAUGCCAUGGGAUGGUGGCAUGGGGACAGGAUGGAGAUGCCCUGGGAUGGUGGCACAUGGAAGGGUGGAGGUGUUCAGAAAUGGUGACACGUGGGCAGAGUGAAGGUGCUGUGGGAUGGUGGCACAUGGGAGGAUGGAGACAUCCAGUUUGGCACAGGGACAGGACGGAGAUGCGGUGGGAUGGUGGCACAUGGAAGGAUGGAGACGGUAUGCGAUGGUGGCACAGGGACAGGAUGGAGAUGUGGUGGGAUGGUGGCACAUGGAAGGGUGGAGACAUCCAGUUUGGCACAGGGACAGGAUGGGGAUGCGAUGGGAUGGUGGCACAGGGAUAGGACGGAGGCGCUGAGAAGCGGCGGCGCAGGGCAGGUGGGGGUGUUAUGGGCAGGUGGGGUUGUUAUGGGCCGGCGGCGCAGCGAAGGACGGAGGUGGGGACGCCGGGAGGCGGCGCAGUGCGGCCCGCUGUGGGGCGGCGCAGAGCUGCGGCGCUGGGAGCGUUUGGUUCUCAUUAUGGGCUGCUGGCAGCGGCGGUGGAAAAAAUAGCAGUGAGUGCAGAGCUGGGAGGGAGAGGGGCCGUGGAGGGGCGGCUGCGGUGUGCAAACAGCGAGCGGUGAGCACGGCCAGCGUGCAAAUACAGCGUGCAACGUGUGCUCAGCGUGC